UACGUAGGGGGCGAGCGUUGUCCGGAUUUAUUGGGCGUAAAGAGCUCGUAGGCGGUUGGGUAAGUCGGGUGUGAAAACUCAGGGCUCAACUCUGAGACGCCACUCGAUACUGCCCUGACUCGAGUCCGGUAGGGGAGCGUGGAAUUCCCGGUGUAGCGGUGGAAUGCGCAGAUAUCAGGAGGAACACCAACGGCGAAGGCAGCUCGCUGGGACGGUACUGACGCUGAGGCGCGAAAGCGUGGGGAGCGAACAGG
rnacentral:rRNA from 1 species